rnacentral:rRNA from 1 species
AACGAACGCUGGCGGCAUGCCUAACACAUGCAAGUCGAACGAUCCCUUCGGGGAUAGUGGCGCACGGGUGCGUAACGCGUGGGAACCUGCCCUUAGGUUCGGAAUAACUCAGAGAAAUUUGAGCUAAUACCGGAUAAUGUCUUCGGACCAAAGAUUUAUCGCCUUUGGAUGGGCCCGCGUUGGAUUAGCUAGUUGGUGGGGUAAAGGCCUACCAAGGCGACGAUCCAUAGCUGGUCUGAGGGGAUGAUCAGCCACACUGGGACUGAGACACGGCCCAGACUCCUACGGGAGGCAGCAGUGGGGAAUAUUGGACAAUGGGCGAAAGCCUGAUCCAGCAAUGCCGCGUGAGUGAUGAAGGCCUUAGGGUUGUAAAGCUCUUUUACCCGGGAUGAUAAUGACAGUACCGGGAGAAUAAGCCCCGGCUAACUCCGUG